rnacentral:rRNA from 1 species
GACGAACCGUGCGAACGUUAUUCGGAAUCAUUGGGCUUAAAGGGUGCGUAGGCGGGCUCGUGAGUCCGGGGUGAAAUCCCACGGCCCAACCGUGGAAGUGCCUCUGAUACCGCGGGCCUCGAGGGGGAUAGGGGCGUGCGGAACUUCCGGUGGAGCGGUGAAAUGCGUAGAUAUCGGAAGGAACACCGGUGGCGAAAGCGGCGCGCUGGAUCCCUACUGACGCUGAGGCACGAAAGCCAGGGGAGCAAACGGG